GCCUGGGUGGCUCAGUGGGUUUAAGUGUCUGACUUUGGCUCAGGUCAUGAUCUCAUGGUUCGUGGGUUCGAGCCCCAUGUUGGGCU
rnacentral:tRNA from 1 species